rnacentral:rRNA from 1 species
AGAGUUGAUCCUGGCUCAGAACGAACGCUGGUAGCGUGGAUUAGGCAUGCAAGUCGGACGGGAUCCGGAAGGUAGCAAUAUCGGCCGGUGAGAGUGGCGGACUGGGGAGGAACACGUGAGCAACUUGCCCGCAGGACGGGGAAAACCGUUGGAAACGACGGCUAAUACCGGAUGCGGCGCCUUGGGGACCAUCCCCUGGGCGCCAAAGGGGGCCGCAAGGCUCCCGCCCGCGGAGAGGCUCGCGCACCAUCAGCUUGUUGGCGGGGUAACGGCCCACCAAGGCUCACGGUUAGCUGGUCUGAGAGGAUGACCAGCCCCACUGGGACUGAGACACUGCCCAGACCCCUACGGGAGGCUGCAGUCGAGGAUCAUUUGCAAUGGGCGAAAGCCUGACAAUGCGACGCUGCGUGGAGGAUGAAGGCCUUCGGGUUGUAAACUCCUGUCAUGGGGGAACAGGCGAGGGGACCCAACACGUCCCUUAGUUGAGCGUACCCCAAGAGGAAGGGACGGCUAACUCUGUGCCAGCAGCCGC